rnacentral:tRNA from 1 species
AGGGUUGUAGCUCAGUGGUAGAGUGCUUGUCUAGCAUGUAUGAGAUAUUGGGUUCAAUUCUCAGCACCACUU